CAGGCGAGCGUUGUUCAAAGGCAGGAACGAGACGGUACACUGACUGACCGGUUAGUGCUUCUGAGGCACGUAACACCAGCUGAACAACCUGGUUGACGACGCCAAUCUAUUCCCGACACGUUAGGGAGAGGGUGGAAGAGACAAGAAUACCGGGGGUUGACACACAUCAGUGAGUCAUCAGAGUCCCAGGCGGGCCCAUCUGCGCGUCACAUGUUCGCCUGGCUACGUCAGGUUCCGUUUAACCGAGAACUCGAAAUAACCGAACGGACUUGCUCGAUGUUUUUCAAAUUCAGCAAGAUUUGAUACACUAUAUUUGUUUCCCUCUUCUCCAUGUUUAAAAAACAGCUUAGAAAUAGUAAGAGUACUAUUAGCAUUCAACUCGAGACUAUGUAGCUGAAAUAUUUAGGUAUAUUAAAAAGAAAUAACUGGGAAUGAUUCGGAUACGAGAUAUCAACCUGCAUUGACAUUAACUUUUAUUGACAGUUCAAAUACCUCUUACCACUAAAUUUAAUACACAUCACAUACUUUCUUAUUGUAAUAUAACCAUUAGGAAUAUAUACAAAAAGCCAUUAUAAGGGAACUCGUAUUAUGUACGGCGAUACAUUGAAAAUUUGUAUUCUGAGAUGAAUAAUAAAAGAAUAUCUAAG